CGAGAUGCUAAGAGGUGGGGCCCCUGGAAAUGUGAGGGGAAUGAUGGAAAGAAUAUUGUGGUAACUCACAGUGAAGCGGACCCGGUGCUGUGUUAUCCCUAAUACAAAGGAAAGCAACUAUAAACCCAGCCAGGGGAGCACCUCCGCUUCAGGAAUCAUUCACGACGAGAGAACAUACUCCCACUUGGCAGUGGAAGUUACAGCAAAAAAUUCCAGGGUUGUGCUCCCCAACACCAGCAUUAGAGCAUAGACUCUGAUGCUUUUACAGAGAUCAAGUCUCUCAAGUAUGGCCUGCCUCCUAACAAAGAGAAGUUAUUGAAGCAGUUCAGCACAGAACAAGAAGUAAUCAAACAUGACUAUUUGGGCAGGAUUAUUGUGAUAUGAGUAUCCAACCUCACACUGCCAACAAUUUGCUGGAAGAUUUAACUUGGCAAAUAAAAAUUGAAUUUUUGUGGGCUCAUAACAGUCCAUAUUGGACAAUAUUUUUAAUAAUCUUAAAGCCAGAACGUUAUAAUUCAGAAAGGAUUGGAGUGAGAGAGAUGACGUAA
rnacentral:lncRNA from 1 species